AUCAGGGGUAAACCUGUGGAACUCGAACGAGCGAACGGGGAGAUUCAACGCUCUUCCGUCGGGGUCCGCGGUUCGGCUCAGACGGCGCGCCGUUCGCGGUGCGCUCGCCUGCGUCGGGUCGCAGAAAGGCCCUCGGAGUGCGCGCACUUCUCCCUUAGUAUAACACCGCGACCCGUCAGAUCUUUUCGAGGGUCGAACGCGCCGUGCGGUUGUCCCGUUUCGUCUCUUCGCGGUGACGGAGCGGAGCCGCGGCGUCGCGACUCUCGUCCGACGGUAGAGAACGAGGAUCGAGUCCGCUACCUUCUCGAAGGUUGCGUCCGUGGCGUUGCAGCGGCGCUCCCCGCACGGACCUCGGCGCGCAAGCGUCGUUGGCUCCGGGCGUCGGCGAGCACCAGGGCGUCGCCCCUUAGCGACGCCGUCUCGGACGGGACUCGUCCCGGUCGGCGGUGGUUUUGUUUCGGGCACUCACAGGACCCGUCUUGAAAC
rnacentral:rRNA from 1 species